AAUGGCGGAUUUUGUUGAAAACGACAAAACCUUAGGAAAGGAUCAAAAUAGUAGUGCUUCCACUGAUUCACACCAUAAUCAGCUUUCAAUUAUAUUUGAACAGAUUGAUGAAAUUAUAGGCAACAAUGGAGACCUCUCAAAAGAACAAAAGGAACGAUGUAAACACAGAUUUCGCGAGAUAUUUGAAACAGCCUAUACAACGUUAAUUACUCCACAAAAAGAAGAAGAACCUGUAAGAAGAAACUGGAUGGAGUACGAUUUAACAGCUAAACUUGAUGAUGCAGUUAAGGAUAUUGCAACUAUAAGGAAAAGGCAACCAAUAGAAUGCACGAAAGCCUACAAGGCUAAACUGAACAAAGAAAUUAUACACAUGAACACACUGAACGUUUGUGCCGGGCCGUCAAAAACCUGUCCAGAAGCUGUUUUGAAUGUAGAAACAAAUUUAUUUACAAAAUUACACGAAAUGAAAGAAAAACUUUUAAAUCUGUCUAAGAAUACAACAUGUUUAGUGGAUAGAGCAGUGAGAUUGAAUACAGCCAUAGACAUAGAAAAUAGUAACAAAAAUCUUAAACGGCAGGAUGACGGUUGUUCCAGCCCGCAGCGCAAAAGGCAAAGAACACAUACAACACCUACUAAACCAAAAGUUUUAGAACAUUUACGCCGAAGUCCGCGGUUAAAAUCGGCUGGUUUUAAUACAAGAAAGUAGUUUAAUCACUUGUUGGAAGGCCAAA